UACUGUUAUGUCAUUGUCAAAUAGAUUUUUAUAUCAUAUUCCAUUGCCAAUCUAGUUUUCCUUCUUCACUCACAAAGUAAUUUGCAAAUUCUUCCCUGAUUGUUGUUAACAUAAGUCCACCUCGACGAACACUCCGAGUAGAUUCUGUAAUAGAGUUUGGAAGACCCUCAAAUGUACCUUCGAGUUUGUGUCCAUCUCGUUGCUUUACAUAGUUAUGCAAAACACAUGCUGCUUUAGUUAUAUCUACUGCAAAGUCGACAUCUACGUUAAGUGGUCAAUGGAAUAUGCGCCAUUUAUUAGCAAAUAUACCAAAUGUGCAUUCAAUAUACCGUCUAGCACGUGAUAAUCGAUAGUUGCAAGACUCUUUUUUGCUCUGGCAAAUUGUUUCCUCCGUAAGGGCGCAACAAAUUUUCUUGCAAGCUAAACGCUUCAUCUGCUACAAAUACAUUAGGUAGAACAGGUCCAUUUCGCGAUAUUGAAGAAGGUGCAGGUAUAUUUAAUUUCUUUUCCAGUAAUCUUUUGUAAAAGGUACUCUCUUCGAAAAUAGUCGAGUCUGCAUGCCUUCCAUAUGAACCUACAUCCACGAAAGUAAACAUGUAAUUACUGUCACAUACGGCCAUUAGUAUUAUAGAAAAAUAUUUUUUGUAAUUAUAAUAUGCCGAUCCACUUUCUGCGGGUUUUAUUAUUCUUAUAUGUUUGCCGUCCACUGAUCCAAGGCAGUUCGGAAACUGUGCAUUUUUUAUAAACCCAUUUAUUAUUUCUUUCCAUCUGUCUUCAGUUAAUGGCGCUAUGCACAUAUCUUUCAUAUAUAUCCAUAUAUUUCUACAUACAUCUCUCACUAUACCACCAAUUGUAGUAGCUGCAAUUCUAAAGCUGUAUUGCAAAUCCAUAAAUGUUUGUCCAGUGGCUAAGUAUCUGAAAAGAAUAAUAGCAUUAGUAUUAUUAGGGUUAAAAAUAAAUAUAUAUUAGGGGGGGGAGGGGCUCCCAUACAACAGACAUGAACAUGAUUAAUUAAUGUAUGUAUACUUCAUUGUUACAGCCAUGGCACUACAGAAGAAAUGGAAAGUGUUAAGAGAUGGGUUUAGAAGGUAUGCGAAAAAAAUCAAACCAAAGAGUGAUUCAGCAGCCACCAAGAUACGACCCUACCCAUAUUAUGAGCAGUUAUUAUUUUUAAAGGUCAUUGAGGCUAGACCAGAGAAAUCAGAUAGUUUGAAAGAAACAUGUGAAGAAAGCGAUCAUAAUAAAGAAUCUGCAAAAAAAAAUUUAGUACUUUAAAACGAAAACUAACUAAUAAAACUGAAGACGACCUAAUUGAAAAAUUAUAUAAACGCAUUGAUGAAAAACCCAGUUCAAAGCUUCCAGUAGAGGAUGAUGACAAAAUGUUCUUACUAUCACUAGCUGGAGAGUUCAAAAAUAUUAAAGAUCAAUAUAAAUUAGAUGCCAAGUCAGAAAUCAUCAACCUAAUUAAAUACUUUAAAGGAAUAUCACAGCAUACACAGUCAAGCUAUUAUGGUGAAGGAAUAUCACAGCAUACACAGUCAAGCUAUUAUGGUGAGAGUAGGGGAUAUUUUGCACCUUCAACUAAUGAGCCCGUAGACACAAUUAUUCAAUGAGCAACGUGGAACAACGUGGUUACAACUAUUCAAGUUACAACAAGGGUUAUCAAUCGGCACCUUCUACAAGUGAUCAGCUUUCACCACUAGUCUCAGCUAAUGAUGAGUUUUCUCAAUCAUCCUUUGAAGACAGUCAUCCACCUUCGUCUGUUCGAUCUGAUGAUAUUAUUAGUUGAUAUAUUCAAUGAUUAAAUAAUAAAUGUAGAAAGUUAACAUUUGUUUUUUUACUUACCUUAGUGUUACAGCUAGCCUUUCUUCUGGAGGAAUACUUUUCCUCAUAAUAGUAUCGUCACGUUUAAUUUUUUCCUUGAGUAUAUUACAAAGUUCAUCAAAAGAUGAGAUUGACAUUCUAAAAUAAUUAAAAAACUUUUCUUUGUCAAGUCUUAGUUCCAAAAACAAGUGAUUAAAUUCUCCUUUGGAAUUUCGUGUUUCCAAUAUUGGAUGCACCCACAAUUUUCUUUUUUUACGCCGUCGUCGUCGUCGUAUGAGCAAAAGCAGUAGAAGUGCUUCCUCCUCAAAAUCCAUGAUGCUACUGAUUGAAAUUGCCAACUGCUCGAGCAGUUAGACUAACUGCUCGAGCUGUUAUAAACGGUAGCUACAAGCUGUUGACUCUGACUGCACGAGCGGUCCGUGUAUGUUGAUCACUGGACUACUGCUCGAGCGGCCCGUGUAUGGAGUACCUUAGGUAAGGCGAGGUCUGAAACCAGUUUGUAGGUGGCUUCCGUGAGUGCGCUCAGCAAGAUUGCUCGUCUUUUUUUUCGAGUAGCAAAGAUUUUUCAUCCAUAUCAUUCGCAAUAAACCACUGUGAUAGUCUACUUUUCAUCCUUAUCCGCCAUCCGAAACUCGCAAGGUUUUUUUUUGGGUAUUCGUCGCCACUGUAAAGUAUGCAAUACGGGACUUGAGAAACAAACGCUGGUAGCGCACUGAUUUAUAAGGCAUCGACAUGGGCGAUACUGGCAAAAACUAAGAGAAAUGCAUAAAUAUGUAACGCGACUAAAGCGUAGAUGUGUAGGUGUAUACUAUGCGCUACUAAAAAAAAAUGUCCUAUAUUUUCCUUAUAGUGUAGUGUAGGUGCACUAUAGAUAAUCCACUAAUUAACAUGAAAAUCUACACAACGUCACUUCAACUUCCUACAUAGAAAAUAUAGACGAACACAAUUUAUUGCUGGCGGAUGGCGUUACAUGUGAAUUUGUUAGAAGCUCGCCUUCUUCAAGAGGAAUUCCGCAAGAACGGAGAAUCGCCAGCGCGUGUUGUUUUAAAAUAAUCCUAAAAUGAAGAAAAAGUGUCAUUACUAUAAAAACCUUGGACAUAUUAAAGCAAAGUGAAACUCUUACCAUCUUAGAGGCUCUUAGUAAAGAUGUGACCUACGAUCAAUUGGUUGAAGCGUUGGAAUCGAGAUAUGGUGAUUCUCAUCUGGAACAUGUAUUUCGUGCUCAGUUAAAGGAUCGAGACCAACGCAGCUCCGAAAACCUACAGCAGUGGGCUCUGCCAAACCAAUGACCACUCGUAAACGGAAACUACAAAAAUCUGAAAUAUUAACGAGUACGCCGAUCAAGGAAGACCAAAAGCAGAAAUUUGAUAAAAAUAAAGUUAAGAAGGUUAAUAAAGGACUGAAUGAUAAAUCAACAAAAGUUCCUGUUAAGACUGUUCCUAAGAAAACUAAGACUGACAAGAAUAAGAAAAAAGCUAAACAGCCAAAGAAAAUUAAAAAAUUUAAGGAUAUUUUAUGCUUUUUUUUGCGGCGAAAUUUACAUUGAAGAUGAUAAUCCUAUUGAAAAUUGGAUUCGAUGUGAUAUUUGUCAACAAUGAUGUCACGAAGAAUGUUUCGCAUUCGAUGGCACGGAAGGGUAUAUUUGUGAUAACUGCCAAUCUUAAUUUUCUAAUUAUUUAAGUUCAAGUUAUGUUUUUUUUUUCAGUUUAUUAAGUUUGUUACUCUCGUUUCCAGAGUUAUUAACAUGAGUAUUCACUUUUCCCGAGUACUGUAUCCGCUUUGCCCAAGGGUCCGGGCAAAACGAAUACUUUCGUACAUUUUUGAAUUUUAUUUCCAGUUAAUAUUUGUUUAAUUAUUUAGGUUAAUUGAUGACAGUAUUUGUAAGAGCAAUUAAUAAAGGCCGAUUUGUACUAGUUAUUUUGUUUUUAUACCUUAUACCUUUUCUGCUAAUCUUAAAUAUCUUAAGGUAUCCACUUUGCCCGGCCUUCCCCUACAUGCGGCCGGGUAUAAAAGAAGCGCGCGCGGCCGCGUACGAGUCAACGCGACCGAGAGCGAUAACUGCGAGUGAUAUCGAAGCGAAUACAGUGAAUUGUGUGGCGCGGUGUUUGUGAUUAAGUGAUUUAGUGUUACAGUAGUUCACGUGCUGUUGUGUUUGUGUUAGUGAAGUGUGGUUUUAUUUUAAAGUCUCAUCGGUAUUUACAUAUUCAAUUCUUAUAACAUUCUUUUCAACCAUAUCUUUAAGAAAAUGUACUUGUUUAGGGGGUGCUCUGGUGUAGUGUGUGUGCUAAGAGUCCGGGUUCACACAAUAAAGACACUCUUUCACAUGAAACCAAUAUUUAUUAUUAGCACUAGUAACACUACAGUCCACGGGGGGUAAUCUUCAUACAAGGUUUACGUGGGUUUUAUUAUCUGUGCUCAACUAUAAUGCGUGACAGUUUCUUCCCCUCCUCCCUUCAUACUUCUCGCCAUUUUCGUCCACCGUCGCAUGGGCAACCAUGUUGUUUUUUGUGAUCUGUCAAAUCUCAAUAAUUAUCUGUCAAACGUCAUUACAGUUUUAAAGUUAGUCAAGUGAAGUUUUGCGUUGAUUAAAUUCCGUAACUUAUCCUCCCAGUUUUUGAACCUGCAAUCGUGUUUUGAAACAAUGUUUAAUCAUUGUUGCGUUGAGUACUGUGAUAGUAAACGAAAGGACAUCAACCUUUAUAGGUUUCCAAAAAGUGAAAUAAUGUCCCAAAAGUGGUUGGAAUGUAUUAAUUCGGAUUCAUUGCGAACCUUGAACACUCAAGAUCUUCGCAAGCAGUAUGUGUGUCGAAAACAUUUUGUAAAAACAUUUUUUACCUCGUCGGGUCAGAGAUCUCGUCUACGUAGCGAUGCAUAUCCAACGAUAUUCAAUCAUGGGACUACAAUGAUAAUACCUGAUGAAGCCAAUAAUGUCAAUGAUGAGCAUAAUUAUAUGAAAAAAAGAAGGCACAUGGAUCAUACCUAUUGUAAACCACAUGUAGCAGAGAAACGAAGAAGAAUUGGAGGUGAAAUGUGUACCAUGCCAUCUGCAUCUUAUAUAGAAAAAGUAACUAUUGGGAAACCAACUGUUUCAUCCAUCCACUCUGUAUUGAAACCACGAAGGCAUGCUCUUUUGAUCAAAAAAAGACACACACCUUUGACUUUAAAAAUAUCAAGGGAAUAUAAUUUGUCCAAAAAUGAAGAUAAUUUUAAGAAACGGGCUAAAAGAGCCAUCAAGUUUUCAAGACAUUUAAGUAUAAUUAAAUGCUUAGAAAAACUUAAUCCAUUGGCACAAAAGUUUUUAUGGAUGCAGAUAAAUCUAUGUAAAAAAAAAGCCAGAGGACGUCGAUUCACUGAUGAUGAAAAGUUAUUAGCUAUGUCUAUUAUGAAGAAAAUCCAAAGUGCUAUAAAUUUCUGCAAAAAAUAUUUAUUUUACCAUCAAAAUAUACAUUAAAUAAAAUGAUCACAAAUUUAAAUGUUGAAGCUGGCAUAAAUGAACAAAAUUUUGAAGCUGUAUAGCAAGAGGUAAAUACAUGGGAUGAAAAAAGAAAGUUUUGUUCAAUUAUAUUUGAUGAAAUAUCAUUAGAACCAGCAUUAAUAUAUGAUAAACAUAAAGAUGUUAUAAAUGGAUUUGUGCAUGUUAAUGAAAAAAAAAGUGAAUUUGCUGACCAUGCUCUAGUGUUCAUGCUGCGGGGAGCAAUUCAUAAGUGGCAACAACCUGUUGCCUUUUAUUUCUGUAAAGGAGCAACCUCUGCUGGCUGCUUAAAAAAUAUUCUAAAAGAAAUGGUAACUGCUGUUAUUGACACUGGACUUUUACCUAUCACUUUAGUAUGUGAUCAGGGAAGUAAUUUCCAGUCUGCUCUAAAAAGCCUCCAACAAGAUGUCUAUAGGGAACAACUCAGAAUAGGUGAAAAGAUUGGUAAGUUAGAAUAGACAUUUCAUUUUAAAUAUUAAGUUAUAAAA
rnacentral:lncRNA from 1 species